rnacentral:rRNA from 1 species
GGGGGAAUUUUGGACAAUGGGCGAAAGCCUGAUCCAGCAAUGCCGCGUGUGUGAAGAAGGCCUUCGGGUUGUAAAGCACUUUUGUCCGGAAAGAAAUGGCUCUGGUGAAUACCUGGGGUCGAUGACGGUACCGGAAGAAUAAGGACCGGCUAACUACGUGCCAGCAGCCGCGGUAAUACGUAGGGUCCAAGCGUUAAUCGGAAUUACUGGGCGUAAAGCGUGCGCAGGCGGUUGUGCAAGACCGAUGUGAAAUCCCCGAGCUUAACUUGGGAAUUGCAUUGGUGACUGCACGGCUAGAGUGUGUCAGAGGGGGGUAGAAUUCCACGUGUAGCAGUGAAAUGCGUAGAGAUGUGGAGGAAUACCGAUGGCGAAGGCAGCCCCCUGGGAUAACACUGACGCUCAUGCACGAAAGCGUGGGGAGCAAACAGG